CCUAGUAGUGGGGGAUAGCUCGGGGAAACUCGAAUUAAUACCGCAUACGACCUACGGGUGAAAGGGGGCGCAAGCUCUUGCUAUUAGAUGAGCCUAAAUCAGAUUAGCUAGUUGGUGGGGUAAAGGCCCACCAAGGCGACGAUCUGUAACUGGUCUGAGAGGAUGAUCAGUCACACCGGAACUGAGACACGGUCCGGACUCCUACGGGAGGCAGCAGUGGGGAAUAUUGGACAAUGGGGGCAACCCUGAUCCAGCCAUGCCGCGUGUGUGAAGAAGGCCUUUUGGUUGUAAAGCACUUUAAGCAGGGAGGAGAGGCUAAUGGUUAAUACCCAUUAGAUUAGACGUUACCUGCAGAAUAAGCACCGGCUAACUCUGUGCCAGCAGCCGCGGUAAUACAGAGGGUGCGAGCGUUAAUCGGAAUUACUGGGCGUAAAGCGAGUGUAGGUGGCUCAUUAAGUCACAUGUGAAAUCCCCGGGCUUAACCUGGGAACUGCAUGUGAUACUGGUGGUGCUAGAAUAUGUGAGAGGGAAGUAGAAUUCCAGGUGUAGCGGUGAAAUGCGUAGAGAUCUGGAGGAAUACCGAUGGCGAAGGCAGCUUCCUGGCAUAAUAUUGACACUGAGAUUCGAAA
rnacentral:rRNA from 1 species